rnacentral:rRNA from 1 species
UGACCGCUGGCGGCGUGCCUAAUACAUGCAAGUCGAGCGAACGGACGAGAAGCUUGCUUCUCUGAUGUUAGCGGCGGACGGGUGAGUAACACGUGGAUAACCUACCUAUAAGACUGGGAUAACUUCGGGAAACCGGAGCUAAUACCGGAUGAUAUUUUGAACCGCAUGGUUCAAAAGUGAAAGACGAUCUUGCUGUCACUUAUAGAUGGAUCCGCGCUGCAUUAGCUAGUUGGUAAGGUAACGGCUUACCAAGGCAACGAUGCAUAGCCGACCUGAGAGGGUGAUCGGCCACACUGGAACUGAGACACGGUCCAGACUCCUACGGGAGGCAGCAGUAGGGAAUCUUCCGCAAUGGGCGAAAGCCUGACGGAGCAACGCCGCGUGAGUGAUGAAGGUCUUCGGAUCGUAAAACCCUGUUAUUAGGGAAGAACAUAUGUGUAAGUAACUGUGCACAUCUUGACGGUACCUAAUCAGAAAGCCACGGCUAACUACGUG